GCGGCCUAUCAGCUUGUUGGUGGGGUAAUGGCCUACCAAGGCAACGACGGGUAGCUGGUCUGAGAGGAUGAUCAGCCACACUGGGACUGAGACGCGGCCCAGACUCCUACGGGAGGCAGCAGUGGGGAAUCUUGCGCAAUGGGCGAAAGCCUGACGCAGCAACGCCGCGUGCGGGAUGAAGGCCUUCGGGUUGUAAACCGCUUUCAGCAGGAACGAAAAUGACGGUACCUGCAGAAGAAGGAGCGGCCAACUACGUGCCAGCAGCCGCGGUGACACGUAGGCUCCAAGCGUUGUCCAGAUUUAUUGGGCGUAAAGAGCUCGUAGGCGGUUUAGUAAGUCGGGUGUUAAAACUCUGGGCUCAACCCGGAGACGCCAUCCGAUACUACUAUGACUUGAGUUCAGGAGGGGAGACUGGAAUUCCU
rnacentral:rRNA from 1 species